rnacentral:rRNA from 1 species
AUUGAACGCUGGCGGCAGGCUUAACACAUGCAAGUCGAACGAGUGGCGGACGGGUGAGUAAUGCUUGGGACUCUGGCUUAUGGAGGGGGAUAACUACUGGAAACUGUAGCUAAUACCGCAUACCAUAGGAUGAGCCCAGAUGGGAUUAGGUAGUUGGUGAGGUAAAGGCUCACCAAGCCGACGAUCUCUAGCUGGUCUGAGAGGAUGACCAGCCACACUGGAACUGAGACACGGCCCAGACUCCUAGGGGAGGCAGCAGUGGGGAAUAUUGCGCAAUGGGGGCAACCUGACGCAGCCAUGCCGCGUGAAUGAAGAAGGCCUUCGGGUUGUAAAGUUCUUUCGGUAGCGAGGCGUUACUCACAGAAGAAGCACCGGCUAACUCCGUGCCAGCAGCCGCGGUAAUAC